UUCUAGAGUAUGUAGAGGAAGUUUACAUUUAAUGAAUAAAACAAAUCAACAUACAGCACUGUUUAGACCACGUGAUUCCAGGUUACCUAGAAUAAUGAUUCCGAAGGAGAAUUUUCCAAAAGACUUCCUGAAGCGGCCAGAAGAUCAUGCAAACACCAUGUUCAUAAGUAGAAUUAAUGAAUGGAGAGACAACUCUAUUUACGCACAUGGAGAAUUGAUGGGGAAAUUAGGGGAAACAGGAGAAGUAUAUACAGAAACAGAAGGAAUACUGAUAGAAAAUGAUGUGGAUGAUUCAGAAUUUACAGAAGAG